CCGACCUUAGCUCAGUUGGUAGAGCGGAGGACCGUAGUUGGUGUAAACCUUUCAGAUAUCCUUAGGUCGCUGGUUCGAAUCCGGCAGGUCGGA
rnacentral:tRNA from 1 species